rnacentral:rRNA from 1 species
CGACCUCGGGCUGUACGGGACUACCC